rnacentral:rRNA from 1 species
GACGAACGCUGGCGGCGUGCUUAACACAUGCAAGUCGAACGGUAAGGCUCCAGCUUGCUGGGGUACACGAGUGGCGAACGGGUGAGUAACACGUGGGUGACCUGCCCUGCACUUCGGGAUAAGCCUGGGAAACUGGGUCUAAUACCGGAUAGGACCGCACCGUGAGGGUGUGGUGGAAAGUUUUUUCGGUGUGGGAUGGGCCCGCGGCCUACCAGCUUGUUGGUGGGGUAAUGGCCUACCAAGGCGGCGACGGGUAGCCGGCCUGAGAGGGUGGACGGCCACAUUGGGACUGAGACACGGCCCAGACUCCUACGGGAGGCAGCAGUGGGGAAUAUUGCACAAUGGGCGGAAGCCUGAUGCAGCGACGCCGCGUGGGGGAUGACGGCCUUCGGGUUGUAAACUCCUUUCACCAUCGACGAAGGGUUUCUGACGGUAGAUGGAGAAGAAGCACCGGCUAACUACGUGCCAGCAGCCGCGGUAAUACGUAGGGUGCGAGCGUUGUCCGGAAUUACUGGGCGUAAAGAGCUCGUAGGUGGUCUGUCGCGUCGUCUGUGAAAUUCCGGGGCUUAACUCCGGGCGUGCAGGCGAUACGGGCAUAACUUGAGUACUGUAGGGGAGACUGGAAUUCCUGGUGUAGCGGUGAAAUGCGCAGAUAUCAGGAGGAACACCGGUGGCGAAGGCGGGUCUCUGGGCAGUAACUGACGCUGAGGAGCGAAAGCAUGGGGAGCGAACAGGAUUAGAUACCCUGGUAGUCCAUGCCGUAAACGGUGGGCGCUAGGUGUGGGUUUCCUUCCACGGGAUCCGUGCCGUAGCUAACGCAUUAAGCGCCCCGCCUGGGGAGUACGGCCGCAAGGCUAAAACUCAAAGGAAUUGACGGGGGCCCGCACAAGCGGCGGAGCAUGUGGAUUAAUUCGAUGCAACGCGAAGGACCUUACCUGGGCUUGACAUAUACAGGAUCGCGCCAGAGAUGGUGUUUCCCUUGUGGCUUGUAUACAGGUGGUGCAUGGUUGUCGUCAGCUCGUGUCGUGAGAUGUUGGGUUAAGUCCCGCAACGAGCGCAACCCUUGUCUUAUGUUGCCAGCACGUUGUGGUGGGGACUCGUAAGAAACUGCCGGGGUUAACUCGGAGGAAGGUGGGGAUGACGUCAAAUCAUCAUGCCCCUUAUGUCCAGGGCUUCACACAUGCUACAAUGGUCGGUACAGUGGGUUGCCAGUCCGUGAGGGCGAGCUAAUCCCGCAAAGCCGGUCUCAGUUCGGAUCGGGGUCUGUAACUCGACCCCGUGAAGUCGGAGUCGCUAGUAAUCGCAGAUCAGCAACGCUGCGGUGAAUACGUUCCCGGGCCU